rnacentral:snRNA from 1 species
GUGCUCGCUUUGGCAGCAUGUAUACUAAAAUUGGAACGAUACAGAGAUUAGCAUGGCCCCUGCGCAAGGAUGACAUGCAAAUUCGUGAAUCAUUCCACAUUUUU